UACGUGGGGGGCAAGCGUUGUUCGGAAUUACUGGGCGUAAAGGGCUCGUAGGCGGCCAACUAAGUCAGACGUGAAAUCCCUCGGCUUAACCGGGGAACUGCGUCUGAUACUGGAUGGCUUGAGGUUGGGAGAGGGAUGCGGAAUUCCAGGUGUAGCGGUGAAAUGCGUAGAUAUCUGGAGGAACACCGGUGGCGAAGGCGGCAUCCUGGACCGAUACUGACGCUGAGGAGCGAAAGCCAGGGGAGCAAACGGG
rnacentral:rRNA from 1 species